rnacentral:rRNA from 1 species
AUUGAACGCUGGCGGCAGGCCUAACACAUGCAAGUCGAGCGGAUGAAGGGAGCUUGCUCCUGGAUUCAGCUGCGGACGGGUGAGUAAUGACUAGGAAUCUGACUGGUAGUUGGGGAUAACAUCCGGAAACGGGCGCUAAUACCGCAUACGUCCUGAGGGAGAAAGUGGGGGAUCUUCGGACCUCACGCUAUCAGAUGAGCCUAGGUCGGAUUAGCUAGUUGGUGGGGUAAAGGCCUACCAAGGCGACGAUCCGUAACUGGUCUGAGAGGAUGAUCAGUCACACUGGAACUGAGACACGGUCCAGACUCCUACGGGAGGCAGCAGUAGGGAAUAUUGGACAAUGGGCGAAAGCCUGAUCCAGCCAUGCCGCGUGUGUGAAGAAGGUCUUCGGAUUGUAAAGCACUUUAAGUUGGGAGGAAGGGCAGUAAGUUAAUACCUUGCUGUUUUGACGGUACCAACAGAAUAAGCACCGGCUAACUUCGUG